CUCAGUGGCGUGUCCCAGCCCCCAGGAAAGCUCAAAGCUCGUGCUUAACUUACAAUGGCUUCAAAGAGCCGACCCCCUUGCUUCAGACUCUGGCGGGACCAACCCUGGUGUGCAACUCCCAGAAUCAGGUCGAAGCUGUUCGUCAGCUCAGACCGCAUCCUCACCCUUUCUUUUCCUCGCCCUGACCCCGCCCGCGCCUCUCUCCUCCUGAGCGCGCCUCUUCAAUAAAUCGCCUGCACGGGAAACUCCAUCCUCCCGCUCAGCUUCCAGGGAACCGAGCCUAAGAUUGCCUCUCAGCUCUGAUGCGCAUCAAACCAGCCCUGUUCAAACCACCUCCAAGAAAAUAUCCGGCAGGCCAAAGCGGCACAGGAACACGUGCAAGCCGCUCCCAGGGAGUCAAGGCUCGGUUCUGUCCAGAGCUGUGAACUGGAGGAAGCGACUUAACCUCUGAACCCUAAUUUCUGAUUGGUGGCGAUGCUCAUUUGCAGACAUCCAGUGCAUCUGGUUUCCAUCGCUGCUUCGUUUUUAUUCUAAAGCCUGUGCAGGUAGCCUUGGCAGUGGAGGGAGGAGGGUAGCAGAGAGAGAGAGAAACUCCAAGAUGGGUAAAUGUCACUGAGAUACAUUUUCUUCCAACGCCUCCCUUCCCAGAACCUGGCCACAGGUGGAGGCGGUGGAGGUUCUGGGGUAAGAGGCCCCAAAGGAAAUCGGGCCCUAACUCUUGAGUGGGGUGGGGGGGUCCCACAGCCCCUCCCUCCCAGGGUGUUUCCAUUCAGAUACACUUACUCUAUCAUGUUCGAAGAAACGUUGGACAUGGACUGCACAGACAGGUUCCCUUCACCCUUUCGGACCCAUCCUCUCUCGAUUGUAACAGCUGAAUCAGGAGAAAAAGCCAGUCUCCAUUAAGUAUUAACACAUCCUCGCAGAGCUUCCUAAAAGUCCUCUUUUUUCAAGUGGUUUCUUCUUGCCUAUCUCGGUCUCUGAGGUAGCCACAUGAGCGGCGUAGGAAAAGCACUAGGGGACGGAGGGAAGAUAUAUGCGUGUUGUGUGCGCGUGUGGGUCUGUAUGUUAAAGAUACCAAUACGGCCAUCCACGUUAAAUGCACAAAACAGAAAGGCGUUGUGCACAGACGGAAUUCUCUCACGUUUCUUAUUCCAAGAUGAAUGGCGCCCCCCCCCCGCCCACACACACACAUACACACACUGUCUUGGUAUUUUGGAUUUUAUGAUUAUCAUUGCUCUGUCAUUGCAUGUUAUGGAUCAGUCUUCACCUAUGUUCUCCUUUCAGUUACGGACGAGUUUAUGCUGCCGACCCCUACCACCACGCACUUGCUCCAGCCCCCACCUACGGCGUUGGUGCCAUGAAUGCUUUUGCACCUUUGACUGAUGCCAAGACUAGGAGCCAUGCUGAUGAUGUGGGUCUCGUUCUUUCUUCAUUGCAGGCUAGUAUAUACCGAGGGGGAUACAACCGUUUUGCUCCAUACUAAAUGACAAAACCAUAAAAACCUUCCAAUGUGGGGAGAAAGGAAGCUUUCCGAGGCCUGAGUAUUGCAAUACAUGCAGUAGUGCAUCAUUUUAGCAACUCUAAAAAAAAAAAAUUAAAAAUAAAAAGAGGAAAAAAUUACAUUUUUUAUCUUAUACCUCAGAUAUUUUGUUCUGUGUAUUUUAAUAUUGUGGGUCUUUAAUUUCUGAAGGUUCCAUAGUUUGGUUGCUGGCUGUAGGAGUUUUUGUGGUUGAUCUAGAGAGAUGCUAGAUAUGAAAAAAAAAAAAUAAAACUGGUUUAGGGCCAUAUCCAGAGUGCUAUAUUAUGUAAAUGAAUUAUAUAUGCUGAAUAUUAAGCUACUGGGGGUAUCAGCUGUUUGGGAAGAGUGUAAGUGACUAUAGUAGUCAUUUUUUUUUUCCUGCAUCUGCAUUAUUUUAUUUUGCAAAAGGGGAGGUUGGGAGGGGCUUAGGGGAUUGGAAUUGGGGUUUGGCUGAAAGAAAAAAAAUGUAGUAACUGACGAAUCUAAACGACCCACUGCACCAACAAUCAUGUAUCAAUGGUUCUAAGUUACUCAUUGCCAGUUCAAGCCAAAGGUUAUGCUGUUUAGGGAGGGCUUCUAGUAGCACUUGUGCAACUGAGUCGAAUGAAGCUGUGCAAACCCACCCUUUAAACCAUUCCACCCGGCAGUAUUCAGCUUCUUAACCAGCCGCUAGUUAUUCAGGCAAAAAAAGAAAACCUGCUAGUUAGGCCAUCAACAAGCAUUCUUUUUAUAUUUCUUCCAGUAUAAUAAAUUAUUGAUAUCAUUGCUGACUUUUAUAUUAUGGGAGGGAAAAAAAUAACAUUAAUAAAAAGGUGAUAAAAAGCACUGUUUCUAUUUUUUUCUUUUUUUCCAAAAAAAGAAAGUAAUAAAAACUUAAAUUCUUUGUACCAGUUGAAAAAAAAAUGUAUAAAAUUUACAUCUGUGCAGUGGAGUUGUUAAGUUCUAGAAACAGUCUAUGAAGCUUUAGUUUUAGCCUAAGUAGAACAACUGUUAGAGACAGACGUAUAAUUUUUAUGGAAUUACACGAUAAUCAUAUUCGGAUUUAUAGAAGCAUUUUACAAGUAUUGCAAUCAUUGAGUAGAGAUAAUCAUGGUAUUUUCAUCAGCUUGGUACUUUUUCAAACACGACUGCGUUGUGUGAGCAAUCUGCAAUUUUUCAGUCUGUGAGAGCCUGCCCUUCCGCCUCCCGGCCCAUCUCAAACCAGUUAUCCACAGUUUUCUCUCCAAGGCCCAGGACAUUUGUCAGAAGGAAGCAAAAAAAAAAAAAAAAAAUUAGAUCCACCUUUUUCAUCUCCAAAGUCCCCCUCUACCCUGCCCCGCCCUUUCCUGGAUGCAGGGCCAGAGUGACACAACGGAAAAAUUGCAGUUUGUCUGUAUUACUUCUGUUUGGACUCUUUCCACGUUGUCCUGUUUACAAGUUAACCUAAGUUGGGGUAUCUGUCACGGGUCUUCCUGUUUUUGUAUUUAAAUAAAACACGCAGCAGCAAGCUGUCCCUGAGUAGUUUUGCUGCCAUAGUUAAAUCCUCAUGUGUGCAGUGCCAGCCCUGCGGCCCGCACUUUAGUAAGUUAUCGACUCACCGCUGUGAACCUGCCAAUCCGCUGUAACAACUCUGCUUUAAAAACAAAACCAAACAAAACUGAAAAAAACAAAAAAAAAAGUGUUUGUGAUCCAGCUUUCUCUCUUGUCAUCCUAUGUGCAUGCCGUAAGAUCAGUUGGAUAUUAAAAACCAUCAAUAAAGUUUCACGAGAUUUGAAAACAAAGUUUCUGUAGCUUCGAUAUCUAAGACAGAUUAUCGUUCUCUUAAAAAGAGAAAAAAAAAAAACAAAAGCAAAAAAACAAAACAAAAAGGGUGUGUGGGGGGGAACUGCUUAGAAGCCAGAAGCAUAUAAAAUGCUCUUUUCACCAAACUUAUGUGGGUGGGGGAGGGGAGGGGCAGAGGGGGUGUUUAUGGCAUUGCUAAGACAUUCUCAUUCCCCCCCACCUGGGAAACGAUGCUAUGGCAACAACAGGUACCUGGUUGAUGUUCUUAAAGGAAAUACAUUAUCAAGAUGCUAUGGCAUCCCACUCCGGAGGGGAGAGAGAGAGUGGGAACAGGUGGCUGAGGGAGAACACAUAGAUUUCUCUCAAUUGCCUCUGAUUUCAAAAUCCAGAAUUUAACAUUGUGUUUGGAAUCACAAACAUAGACUUCUUACUGUGUUGGUUAAAGUAAAAUCCAUUUGCAGUUUUGAUUUUCAUCAAUGAGCUGUACUUUCCCCCAUGACUGUAUGUAGUUUUAAUAAAAGUCAUUUAGAGCAAGUGGGUGCCAACUGACGUCACAGUCUUUUGUCUAGGCACCCCUCCAAGAUGCCAAUCAGUCAUUCUAAAAAUGUAUGUCAGAAAUGUAAACAGACAUUUUGGAUUUUUUUUAAACAGUAAUUAUUUGGAAUGUUUUCAUUUAUCUAAAUAACUAUUGCUAUUAUGAAUUAUGGAAAAAAAAAGAUUAAUAUCAUGUGUGGCAUAUAGUGACUUCUUAAACACACACAUCACGCAAUCUGCAAACCCAGAAAAUGUGUAUAUCUGUCUUUAGAAAUUAGUGUUUAUAUCACUUACAGUGGUUUGUGAAUAAAGAAAACUGGUUUGUAAUAUCAAAAAAAUAAAAGCUUAGUCUGAAAAGGUA